rnacentral:rRNA from 1 species
GGGGAAUAUUGCACAAUGGGGGAAACCCUGAUGCAGCGACGCCGCGUGAGCGAAGAAGUAUUUCGGUAUGUAAAGCUCUAUCAGCAGGGAAGAUAAUGACGGUACCUGACUAAGAAGCCCCGGCUAACUACGUGCCAGCAGCCGCGGUAAUACGUAGGGGGCAAGCGUUAUCCGGAUUUACUGGGUGUAAAGGGAGCGUAGACGGCAAGGCAAGUCUGAUGUGAAAACCCAGGGCUUAACCCUGGGACUGCAUUGGAAACUGUCUGGCUCGAGUGCCGGAGAGGUAAGCGGAAUUCCUAGUGUAGCGGUGAAAUGCGUAGAUAUUAGGAAGAACACCAGUGGCGAAGGCGGCUUACUGGACGGUAACUGACGUUGAGGCUCGAAAGCGUGGGGAGCAAAC